ACACUUGUACCACCAUGAAUAUAAAAUUAAACUAAAUCAUAACAGUAACUUUAAUUCAAUUAAUUCAGAAUGAAUGAACAAUGACGGAAUGAAAGAAUAAACGACUGAUCAGUGAAGUUAUUAAUAAAGAAAUUAAAGAGACAGAAGUGAAUAGAAAGCAUAAAGUAUGAAGUGAAAGCCACGACUGGCAUAAUAUAAUAAUAUAGGGUAAAGCAACGCAGUGUAAUAUAAUACAAUGUAAUAUAAUAUAAUGUAAAACAAAUGAUAUAUAAUAAAAUAAAGUAGAAUAUAAAAUACAAGAAGUGGACUCAAAAUAUAACCGUAAAGCUUAUUAACUGAAUACUCUAUUUCUUUACCAAAGUAAAUUAUAUGUUAAAUGGUAAAUGGUGGAUGAUAAGUGAUCAUGUCAAUGCAAAUGUAAAUAGAACCAAUUAUUUCAUGACAUUUCAAAAUAAGGAAAUAAACAACACGUAAAUAAAUCAAAUCAAAUGUAAACUGUGUAAUUCAGUUAAACACUAUGCUACUGCAUAGUGUAAGAAUAAAUAAAUCAAUCAAUCAAUAAGUAAAGUAUUUUAAACUAAUAUUUAAAAUGGUGAAAUUAAACAGAACCCGCGCACCAUGAAAGCAUUUGAAUAGACAAAACCACUCAUCAUCACAGAAGAAUAGCAAAAUUAAUUAAGAUAAAUCAAAUCAAAUCACCAACCUCAACUGAUCAGAAUGAAUAAAUGAAUGAAUAACGAAUAACGAAUGAGUUAAUGAAUGAAUGAAUAAAUCAAGGAAGAGAGAAACAGCAGAAUACCAGCAAGUACGAGUAAGCAAUAUAACCCUAAUGUGCCAAAGCCACGGUGUCAAAAUUAGGAUGCAAGCACUAGUUAAAAGGAACGACAUUGAAUAAGAGAACUGAAUUGCAGCUGAAAAGGAAAAGAAAAGAAAGGAAACAAGAAACAGCCCACCGUCAUGGAAGAGCAGCAUUAUGACCAGAGAGAGACGUCAUGAAUAAAUUGAAUUAAAGAAUAUCAAAAGAACAUCAAAACGUCCAAUGAAUAUCGAGGAUGCACAGGAAAAUCAAGAACCAAAUCAAGAAGCGAUAAUGAAAUAAAAUGAAUA